rnacentral:rRNA from 1 species
AUUGAACGCUGGCGGCAUGCUUUACACAUGCAAGUCGAACGGUAACAGGCCGCAAGGUGCUGACGAGUGGCGAACGGGUGAGUAAUGCAUCGGAACGUGCCCAGUCGUGGGGGAUAACGCAGCGAAAGCUGCGCUAAUACCGCAUACGAUCUAUGGAUGAAAGCGGGGGACCGUAAGGCCUCGCGCGAUUGGAGCGGCCGAUGUCAGAUUAGGUAGUUGGUGGGGUAAAGGCUCACCAAGCCAACGAUCUGUAGCUGGUCUGAGAGGACGACCAGACACACUGGGACUGAGACACGGACCAGACUCCUACGGGAGGCAGAAGUGGGGAAUUUUGGACAAUGGGCGCAAGCCUGAUCCAGCAAUGCCGCGUGCAGGAAGAAGGCCUUCGGGUUGUAAACUGCUUUUGUACGGAACGAAAAGGCUCUGGAUAAUACCUGGGGCUCAUGACGGUACCGUAAGAAUAAGCACCGGCUAACUACGUGCCAGCCGCCGCGGUAA